rnacentral:rRNA from 1 species
AACCUGCCGUAUGCAGGGGGAGUACCAGCUGGAAACAGCUGCUAAUACCGCAUAUGCGCACAGGGCCGCAUGGCCUGGUGCGGAAAGGAGCAAUCCGGCAUACGAUGGGUCCGCGUCCGAUUAGCUAGUUGGCGGGGCAGCGGCCCACCAAGGCGACGAUCGGUAGCCGGCCUGAGAGGGCGGACGGCCACAUUGGGACUGAGACACGGCCCAGACUCCUACGGAAGGCAGCAG